rnacentral:rRNA from 1 species
UACAGAGGUCCCAAGCGUUGUUCGGAUUCACUGGGCGUAAAGGGUGCGUAGGCGGGUCUUUAAGUCAGGGGUGAAAUCCUGGAGCUCAACUCCAGAACUGCCUUUGAUACUGAAGAUCUUGAGUCCGGGAGAGGUGAGUGGAAUUCCUAGUGUAGAGGUGAAAUUCGUAGAUAUUAGGAAGAACACCAGUGGCGAAGGCGGCUCACUGGCCCGGUACUGACGCUGAGGCGCGAAAGCGUGGGGAGCAAACAGG